CUUUGCCCACAGUGGAGGACAAGGGCUCUCGAGGUCUUCAUUAGCAGGUGGGUCCUGCAGGUGCAGGGGUGUCACUGCUGCAGCCGUGUAUCACCCUACUUGAUGUUCUGUCACCAGUAAUUAAUAUUGUGGGUGCUUGGGAAACUAAGCACUUAGGAUCCAUUUUUAAUUGUUUGGGGAUGAUGCCAGCUCUGGGAUUGUAUCAGAAACUCGGCAACGCUGCAGCUUGGAAGCUACCCUGCGGAAAGGACAAGAAGUGAAGGGGAACAUUCUCAAUUCUGAUUACCCUGAUGGUGCCUGAGCACUCUUCUUGCCAGGUUGUACUGGUGGUACCACGUGCUGUGAAACUGGUGGAUGUGCUGUCUCCUCCGAGGUGGCACACAGCAGGCCAACAUCUAUCUCUGGUGAUGAAACACAGAAAGAAACUUGUUUCUAAAGGGAACAUGGGCUAGUUGGGCUUUUGAGGAGUGGAAGAGAUAGAAUCACAGAAUCUCCAUAGAAUCACAGAAUCUUCAUGGUUGGAAGGGACCUUUGAGAUCAUCGAGUCCAACCAUUAAAAAAAAAAUAGCACCCUGGCAGGGCUGCGUGUAUCUGCAGGAGGAGUGAGUGUGUUAUGGACCUCCCCAGGAUGGGGCAGAGAGAGCUUGUGCUCUGCUGGAUGGUGCUUAAUGGCCCCUGGAUGAGCAAAUCAGCAAGAUCCCAGCACAUCUAUGUGCACUGUCUCAGGACAUCUAGACUGGGAGACAAAAGCCAGUGAGUAAAUCCUGGUGACUCAUGAAGGUAGGUAGGAUGGAUAGACCCAUCACUGGCAGCUCAGCCAGGGGAAAAAACGGUACAUCCAAACCAUCAGACUGUCACCAACCUGGGAGAAACCCAAGAAACGUGACGAGGACUUGACAGUCAUUGUCCCUUGUUCCUGGAGCAGAGAAAAGCUGAAGGGCGAUGGGCUACCCAUGGCUCAAGAUGUGACAUUCAACAAGAUCCCAAGAGGGUGCUGGGGCAGGAAUAAGCCCCAUUCGUUCAUAUUUCUGUAACCAGUGAAAAGCUGUCUUUGGAUGUAAAACUGGAUGUGAAAUUGCCUUUGCC
rnacentral:lncRNA from 1 species